UACGAAGGGGGCUAGCGUUGCUCGGAAUUACUGGGCGUAAAGGGCGCGUAGGCGGGUCGUUUAGUUAGAGGUGAAAGCCCAGGGCUCAACCCUGGAAUUGCCUUUAAUACUGGCGGCCUUGAGUAUGGCAGAGGUGUGUGGAACUCCGAGUGUAGAGGUGAAAUUCGUAGAUAUUCGGAAGAACACCAGUGGCGAAGGCGACACACUGGGCCAUUACUGACGCUGAGGCGCGAAAGUGUGGGGAGCAAACAGG
rnacentral:rRNA from 1 species